GAUGAAGAACGCAGCGAAAUGCGAUAAGUGAUGUGAAUUGCAGAAUUCAGUGAAUCAUCGAAUCUUUGAACGCACAUUGCGCCCUCUGGUAUUCCGGGGGGCAUGCCUGUUCGAGCGUCAUUACAACCCUCAAGCUUUGCUUGGUAUUGGACAUUGCCAGUUUCUGGCAGGUCUUAAAAUCAGUGGCGGUGCCAUUUGGCUUCAAGCGUAGUAAUUCUUCUCGCUCUGGAGGUCCGGUCGUGUGCUCGCCAGCAACCCCCAAUUUUUUUCAGGUUGACCUCGGAUCAGGUAGGGAUACCCGCUGAACUUAAGCAUAUCAAUAAGCGGAGGA
rnacentral:misc_RNA from 1 species